CUGGCGGCAGGCCUAAUACAUGCAAGUCGAGCGCGCCCUUCGGGGUGAGCGGCGGACGGGUGAGUAACGCGUGGGAAUAUGCCCUUCUCUAAGGAAUAGCCUCUGGAAACGGAGAGUAAUACCUUAUACGCCCUUUGGGGGAAAGAUUUAUCGGAGAAGGAUUAGCCCGCGUUAGAUUAGGUAGUUGGUGGGGUAAUGGCCUACCAAGCCUACGAUCUAUAGCUGGUUUGAGAGGAUGAUCAGCCACACUGGGACUGAGACACGGCCCAGACUCCUACGGGAGGCAGCAGUAGGGAAUCUUAGACAAUGGGGGCAACCCUGAUCUAGCCAUGCCGCGUGUGUGAUGAAGGCCCUAGGGUCGUAAAGCACUUUCGCCAGAGAUGAUAAUGACAGUAUCUGGUAAAGAAACCCCGGCUAACUCCGUGCCAGCAGCCGCGGUAAUACGGAGGGGGUUAGCGUUGUUCGGAAUUACUGGGCGUAAAGCGCACGUAGGCGGAUUAGUAAGUUAGAGGUGAAAUCCCAGGGCUCAACCCUGGAACUGCCUUUAAUACUGCUAGUCUUGAGUUCGAGAGAGGUAAGUGGAAUUCCGAGUGUAGAGGUGAAAUUCGUAGAUAUUCGGAGGAACACCAGUGGCGAAAGCGGCUUACUG
rnacentral:rRNA from 1 species